AAUGAACGUUGGCGGCAGGCUUAAUACAUGCAAGUCGAGGGGCAGCAUGAUUGUAGCAAUACAAUUGAUGGCGACCGGCAAACGGGUGCGGAACACGUACACAACCUCCCAAUAAGUGGGGAAUAGCCCAGAGAAAUUUGGAUUAAUACCCCGUAACAUAACGAUGUGGCAUCACAUUGUUAUAUAGAUUUUUCGCUUAUUGAUGGGUGUGCGGCUGAUUAGAUAGUUGGCGGGGUAACGGCCCACCAAGUCUACGAUCAGUAGCUGAUGUGAGAGCAUGAUCAGCCACACGAGCACUGAGACACGGGCCCGACUCCUACGGGAGGCAGCAGUAAGGAAUAUUGGACAAUGGACGCAAGUCUGAUCCAGCCAUGCCGCGUGAAGGAUUAAGGUCCUCUGGAUUGUAAACUUCUUUUAUAAGGGACGAAAAAAGGCUUUUCUAAGUCGUCUGACGGUACCUUAUGAAUAAGCACCGGCUAACUCCGUGCCAGCCGCCGCAGUAACAC
rnacentral:rRNA from 1 species